UACGGAGGAUCCAAGCGUUAUCCGGAAUCAUUGGGUUUAAAGGGUCCGUAGGCGGUUUUGUAAGUCAGUGGUGAAAGCCCAUCGCUCAACGGUGGAACGGCCAUUGAUACUGCAAGACUUGAAUUAUUAGGAAGUAACUAGAAUAUGUAGUGUAGCGGUGAAGUGCUUAGAGAUUACAUGGAAUACCAAUUGCGAAGGCAGGUUACUACUAAUUGAUUGACGCUGAUGGACGAAAGCGUGGGGAGCGAACAGG
rnacentral:rRNA from 1 species